UGAUCCGACCAUUCAAUAUAGGAUGGUGGAAGCUCAUCGGAUAAAAGCUACUCCGGGGAUAACAGGCUAGUCUUGCCCAAGCGUCCACAGCGACGGCAAGGUUCGGCACCUCGAUGUCGGCUCGUCACAUCCUGGGGGUGGAGAAGCUCCCAAGGGUUGGGCUGUUCGCCCAUUAAAGUGGCACGCGAGCUGGGUUCAGACCGUCAAGUAAUUGAAUUAUGAAUUAUGAAUUAAGAAUUAUGAAUAAUGGAUUCGAUUUUUUGACUGUCUGAACCCCGAGGUUAAGACAUUAAAUACGGCGGCCUUUAAGAGUAAUUUUAAAGGUGAAGCUAACUUAUAUCGGUAAAAUCCCAAUGGGACAAUACCGAGGGAAGAUUAUGAAUUUCGUUGAAAAUUUGUUCUUUCAAUGUAGAGAAAAUGUAAUGAAGGAUAUCAAUGCCGUGCGAGGAUGCGAAAAAACCUCAAUUAUACCCAACAAAUUGUGUUGUCGGAGGUCCAAUCCCUCCCCCUCUUACUGAGUCAAAAAUUGUUUUGGCUUUUCAACGAAAUUUAUAAUCACCCGUAGAGACUAAACGUUAGCCUCCAGUUUGUUUUUCUGGAUUCCCGCCUUCGCGGGAAUGACAAAAAAUUAGCUGGAUGAAGUUAUAGUCCAAUGCACUUAGCAAUAAGUGAUAACAUGCGUAAGACAGGUCGGUCUCCUAUCUACUAUGGUCGUGGAAACUUGAGAAGGACACUCUUUAGUACGAGAGGACCGAGAGUGACGAAGCUCUAGUGUACCAACUGUCCCACCAGGGGCAUCGCUGGGUAGCUAUCUUCGGUUAGGAUAAACGCUGAAAGCAUCUAAGCGUGAAGCCGUCUUCAAGAUUAAGUUUCAUAGGCUCCCAAGAGACUAUUGGGUUGAUAGGCCUUAGGUGUAAGGUCCGCAAGGAUUUCAGCCGAGGGGUACUAAUAAGCCGUAUGAUUUUCCCAC
rnacentral:ncRNA from 1 species